rnacentral:rRNA from 1 species
CCUACGGGUGGCAGCAGUGAGGAAUAUUGGUCAAUGGACGAGAGUCUGAACCAGCCACGUAGCGUGAAGGAUGACUGCCCUAUGGGUUGUAAACUUCUUUUAUAUGGGAAUAAAAUGUUCCACGUGUGGGAUUUUGUAUGUACCAUAUGAAUAAGGAUCGGCUAACUCCGUGCCAUCAGCCGCGGUAAUACGGAGGAUCCGAGCGUUAUCCGGAUUUAUUGGGUUUAAAGGGAGCGUAGGUGGUUUGUUAAGUCAGUUGUGAAAGGUUGCGGCUCAACCGUCAAAUUGCAGUUGAAACUGGCAGUCUGGAGUACAGGAGAGGUGGGCGGAAUUCGUGGUGUAGCGGUGAAAUGCGUAGAUAUCACGAAGAACUCCGAUUGCGAAGGCAGCUCACUGGACUGCAACUGACACUGAGGCUCGAAAGUGUGGGUAUCAAACAGGAUUAGAUACCCGGGUAGUC